AGAAUCGGCGGCCCCCGCGGCCCAUUCUCACCCUUUGCGUACCAAACUACAGUUGCUUUGGCUGGCCUCCGGGCCGGCCAGAGGACCUAAAACCCUUGAAUUAUUGCUGUCUGAGUACUAUACAAUAGUUAAAACUUUCAACAACGGAUCUCUUGGUUCUGGCAUCGAUGAAGAACGCAGCGAAAUGCGAUAAGUAAUGUGAAUUGCAGAAUUCAGUGAAUCAUCGAAUCUUUGAACGCACAUUGCGCCCCCUGGCAUUCCGGGGGGCAUGCCUGUUCGAGCGUCAUUACAACCCUCAAGCUCUGCUUGGUGUUGGGCUCGCCCCCUCGCGGGCCUGCCUCAAAAUCAGUGGCGGCCCCGUCCGGUCUCAAGCGCAGUAAUGCUCGUCGCUUGCUAGUUCCGGGCGGCGGUUGGCCAGCAACCCCCCAAUUUUUACAAGGUUGACCUCGGAUCAGGUAGGGAUACCCGCUGAACUUAAGCAUAUCAAUA
rnacentral:rRNA from 1 species